CAACCUCCUUGGGCAACCUGUUCCACUGUGUCACCACCCUCUGAGUGAAAAACUUCCUUCUAAUUAAACUUCUUAUUCAAUAGACAAGGCAUAGUCCUGCAUCUCUAUCACGUGUGUCUUGGUAGAACUUGGACUGUGUUUGGUUUUUGCAGUAAACCAGUUUAAGAUAAAAAGAUAAAAGCAAAUACCAGACCAAAUCCAAAACUAGCCAAAAUUUUCAUACCAGCAGUAGAGUUUGAGUUAUCAUUGUUUUAAGGGUGCAGGUGCUUGACAGGGAAAAAUGACUGAAAUAUGGGGUGAUAAUAUAUGAGAUUAAUUGCUUGCAUGUAGGAUUUUUUUUGGGUGGUGCCAAGUCUUGAAGAACAGACAUCAGAGAACCUCCGGUUAGCUGAAGAAUUUUUCUAGAGUUAAAAAACAAUUAUCUGAAACCUUUAAGGAAUUAAUGAAGUAAAUUGUUCCUCAGGGUAUAUUUUUUUAAUGAGCCGUAGGAAUAAUAUCUGUGAGGAAAUAUGUAACUCGCAAACAUUCUGACCUUUAGAUGAAACUUCUAACAUAGGAAAUAUUUGCUGUGACAUUUGGUUUGUUUUUGAUUAUGAAAAAUUGCUUCAUAGAGGGCUUUCUGAAAGCGACAAUGCUCUGGAAGCAGCACGGUCCACUGGAUGGGUCACAGGACUCCAUCUCAGGAGAAUUGGGUUUUCUUCCUGGCUGGCCACAAACCAGGAGUGCAUAAACUUGAGCCAAGCGUUUUUGCCAAAGCAAGUGCUGUUUUUUCUCUCCGAAAUGGUGAGAUUGAUCAUUAGCCUUUCAAAAAUACAGAUUGAAAAGGAUAUCUGAGCAUCAUCAUUUUAUAAACCAAAGGUCAUCGCUGCAUCUUCAGUUAGUCAGACAUUAACUACCUCUACUAGCACUUCUCAGUAAUAGUAUUAGCAAAGAUUGUUUAUUCUUUUGUGUAGCUUAUCUCUUAUGUCAUCUCAGAUAGGAAGUGCUCUAGCCCUUUGAGAGGAUUACAAACAUAUUGUUUUCGGAACUCUUAAUUUCCAGCUGAAACAUGCAGGCAGCUCCUAUGUAAUUUGUCCAUCAUUUCCUGUGUGAAUUUAGCUGUUUGUUUUAGAGGCAGUUACCUUAGGGCUUGUGUAGAACUGCAGUGGCAUUACUGUAUUAAAAACGGAAAUUAAUUUAUGUGCCUGCAUCUAAUGGCAAGCAAUCUUUAGUAAUUAUAACCAUCUGAACCUUUCUCUCCAGCUGAAGACAAGUUGCAUCCACUUCCCCUAUCACUUGAGGUUAGAAUUAAGCUUGUGCUUUUAAUCCAUCCCUAAGGAAGACAUUUCCAGUCUGAGUUCCACAAAGCUGGAGAUAGAACUGGAGAAGCGUGGAGGUACAAAAAUCACAGAUAUUCUUCCAGCUUCAGUAAGGUUUAGAUAUUCUGUAUGGAGUUAGAAAUUUGAAAAUAGCUUCUCAUUAAACAGAUGAUUUCUGUGGAAUGUUUACCUUUCCUUUAAAAAAGAUCUUACGACAACUGGGUAAAAUUCUGAAGUGGCUGGUUUUACAAAGUGGGAGGUUUAACAAAUCCUUGUGUGAAAGCCAGGGACAAGCAAUGGGUAAAUAAUACUUAAAGCUAUCUAAGAACAACGAAUGGCCACGUGAAUACUCACAUUCACCCUCUAUGCAGUGUUUGACAAAGUAACGCUGAGGCCGGUACACCUUCUGACUGCUGAGUAUUAGCAGCAUAUUACUUUCACUUUCUGGUGCAUGUAUCAAACUUCACAACGCUAUAUGGAAAGCUGUUGUCUUCUACAGCUCUGUCUGGUGAUAAGCGGCAGCGCGAUUCACGGCUAUUCUCUCUAUGGUGAGAACUGUAAAAGUAUGUUCUGAAUUUUUACUCUCACUCACCUUUGGAGACUGAAUCAACAUUGUAGUCUCUUCUGGAGGUAAAAUGCAAUGUUAUUGAAGACCCAUUAUAAACACCAUCAAGACAUUUAUAACGAGCAUAUAGUUUUCUAAUAGCUUCACUUUUACUUUCAGGCUGUAAUAGAUUUUAAUGCCGGGAAGUGCACAGAGGAUAUUUCACUUCUUGGUCUCUCUAUAUAGAUACUGCAUAGAUGGAUUCUUCUUUUAAAUCUCUGUGCUCAGUCUUACUGAGCAAAGGCAAGGACUUUGUAGGUCAAGGUCAAAAAAGCCAAUAAUGAUGGUAAUAGCUUUGUAGUAAUGAUAGACCUUAAAGUUGUGUAAUAAUAAUUAUCCAUAUUGGUCUUGAGGCUUUCUCUGGUGUUGUACCUGUUUUAAUUGCAGAAAUCAUUUUGGAAACUUCUGUACCAGCGAGCCUGUUACCUAUUUCCUUUAGUCACUUCAGGGAUUUCCUGUCACAGCUCUGCUUUUGCUUAGGCUCACACAGUUCUAUUGAUAGCAGCAGUCAGUAUUGGCAAAAGUGUUAAUCAAAUCGCAAACAGAAGUUAUAUAGAAAAAGGAAUAAAGCCAAGCACUGACAACUCUCUGGUGAAGAUGAGGUAACCCUCGCUGGAAGGACGCUUAGCAGAAUGCACUGCAGGGAAAGAACUCCAAUGCAGUGCUGCUCAAACAUGGCCAACGCAGGGAAGAAAAAUGACCUUAGCUUUGAAUGCACAAUCUCUGCAAGAAUGCGUGCAAGAGAUCCUGCUUAAAUAAAAUCAAGAAUCCAGUUGUCAUCAAGUAGUUGUCAUGCAACAGAACGAGUCCAAGGACAUGAAACACUGUACACAAGGUUAUGGCUUUAUCUAAGUAAUUAUUCCAGGUAGGUGUCUCAACUGAACCACUUCCAGAACAGAAAUAUCAACGAGUUAUACCAGAAUACACCCAUUUCAGAACUGGACAUGAAGACAAAACUUUAUUACUGAGAAAACUAUGUGUUUACCAGAAUUAUUAUUUGUGAGAAGCAGAAAAUAAUGAUGCCUUACCUGUAGCAUUUUACUCCCUGAUGACUGUAACUAAGUAGUUGGUCAUACCUGAAGGUCUUUCCCCACAUCUGUAAUGCCCCCUGCACUGCUCCUGCUGUCCCUCUGGCAGCCAGAUCAUGGGUUAAUGAGGGCUGUGUAUACAGGCAGACACAACAAGGACAUGUAAGUACCAUUAGCUUAAGAAACUAGGCUGAAAAAAUGUCAGACUGAACAGAUGAUAGCUUUAUUUUUCAAAGAAAGACAUUUCAGUACAGCUCUCUACAAAUCUAUUGAAAUUAAAGCCUACGUUUUUGUGAACCUUAUAUUUGCUACCCCUGAAAAUAAAAAAUGCAAAAUGUAUGUUUAAAUUCAGUGGGAAAAAUGAAUUAUUUCAGAUACUUUAUGCAUUAAAACAGCUAUACUGAGGCAGCUGUGUUGACCGCAUUUCAGGUAGCUCUAACUACAAAGGAGGAAGGUAAGGUGCUCGGGAGAAGGUUUACCUGUUAGUGAAUAAAAGUUUGAAACCCGACAAUGAAAGAGUUUAUCAGAAGUAGUUAGGCUUGAAUGUAAUGUUUUACAGUUAGAAGUGUUAAAUAUUUUUUAGGAUUAUUUGUCUGAAUCGUUGUAUGACAUACCCCUACGUGUAAUUCAUGUACACAGAAAUAGCACUGUGCAGAAUGCACACUAGUGUUUAUGCAAAGGAGGCUCUUAAGGUGUUUUAUGUCCUUAGAAAUAAAUGUCCGUUCAAUGUUCCAAUCUAGAGUUGUAAGAAAUAUAGCCACCAGUGUUUUUGUACAGGUAUUUCCAAGAGCAGAUUUGAAGACAAGGACUAUUUGUACUCAGCCAAAUUACUGCCACACUGGAGAGUACACAGAUGAUUGUUUAAUGCUCUGUGCCACUAGAUGAGAAUCCUAUUUCAAAUCUUAAUGAAUAAAUACUUUCUCUGAAACUUCUCCUAGCUUUUUUUCUGCCUUUAAAUCAAAUUACCAACAGACAGCCCUGGACACCUGCAGAAUCUACAGUCGUGAGGGAGAACAGACUAAGUCCAAAAUUAACUUUCGUAAUAUUAAAAUACUUUUUUUGGACAGAAACUUUUCUCAGAACAAGCAGCUCGAGGGCAUGCGUGGUUUGGAUUCCAUUGCUGAAAGAAGAACAUCUUAUGAUCUGUAUCCUCAGAAAGAUAUAGGAAAUCCCAGGUUGGAAGUAGGGGAUUCUUUAUACCUUAUAUGCAUUUCUAACAAAGAUCAAAGCAUAACGCGAUUGCUCUUUACAACGUUGUCAUUUUUCUUGUCAGAGAAAUAAAAAUCCUAAUCUUGGUUUCAUUGGAAGCAGUGUGUUUUGUCACUGACUUCAACUGAUGCACUUCUGUGUUCCAAUGCAGCAAGCACAUAGCAAACAUAUGUUUUAUUGACUUACACUGAGUUACUCAGAUGUGAUGUUACUCAAAUGUCCAGAUGUGGAGUCCUCAGUACAGAAGAGAUGUGGAGCUGGUGGAGCAUGUCCAGAGGAGGGCCACAAAAAUGAUCCAAGGGAUGGAUCACCUUUCCUAUGAGGACAGGCUGAGAGAGCUGGGACUCUUCAGCCUGGAGAAGACUGCGAGGUGACCUGAUAGCAGCCUUUCAGUAUCUAACAGGGGGCUACAGGAAAGAAGGGGACAAACUCUUCAGAAGGACCUGUGGCAAUAGAACAAGGUGAAAUGGCUUCAAGCUUAGGGGGGGUAGAUUUAGGUUAGAUAUAAGCAAAAAGUCUUUUGCAGUUAGGGUGGUGAGGCACUGGAUCAGGUUACCCAGUGAUAUGGUUGAUGCCCCAUCCCUGGAGACUUAAAAGGUGAGGGCGGAUCAGGCCCUGGGCAACAUGAUCUGGCCGUGAUGUCCCUGUUCAUUGCAAGGGAGUUGGACUAGAUGGCCUUCAGAGGCCUUCAGAGGCCAUCCAGACCAUUUCUACCCUAAGGAUUCUAUGAUUCUACUCAUGUGCCUAAUUCCCAGAAUCACAGACUGGUCAACAUUGGAAGGCAUCUCUGGAGGUCACUGGCUCAAGCAGAGUGUCCAGUACCACAUCUGGGCAGCUUCUGGAGAUUUCCAUAGAGGAGGCUUCACAGCCGCCCCUGUGCCAGUGCUCCAUCACCUGCACAGCACAGAAGAGCUUUGCCCCACCUGUCCUGAGGCUGCUCCUCCCCACUGCAGGACUUAGACUUCAUGAGGCUGCUGCUGAGGUCGCUGUGAAUGGCAGCGCAGCCCCCUUCCCAUCAGCAAUUAACUCAUUCAUCUAAAAGGGCAUCAAAAAGAUGGAUAAAACGUACAAGCUGUAGCUUUGCUG
rnacentral:lncRNA from 1 species